rnacentral:rRNA from 1 species
GACAGAGGAUGCAAGCGUUAUCUGGAAUGAUUGGGCGUAAAGCGUCUGUUGGUGGCUUUUCAAGUCCGCCGUCAAAUCCCAGGGCUCAACCCUGGACAGGCGGUGGAAACUACCAAGCUGGAGUAUGGUAGGGGCAGAGGGAAUUUCCGGUGGAGCGGUGAAAUGCAUUGAGAUUGGAAAGAACACCAACGGCGAAAGCACUCUGCUGGGCCGACACUGACACUGAGAGACGAAAGCUAGGGGAGCAAAUGGG